rnacentral:rRNA from 1 species
AUGAACGCUAGCGAUAGGCUUCACACAUGCAAGUCGAGGGGCAGCAUGGUCUUAGCUUGCUAAGACUGAUGGCGACCGGCGCACGGGUGCGUAACGCGUAUGCAACUUGCCUCACAGAGGGGGAUAACCCGUCGAAAGACGGACUAAUACCGCGUACACUCCAUCUUGGGCAUCCAAGGUAGAGGAAAUGAAAUUCGCUGUGAGAUAGGCAUGCGUCCCAUUAGCUAGUUGGUGAGGUAACGGCUCACCAAGGCGACGAUGGGUAGGGGAACUGAGAGGUUGAACCCCCACACUGGUACUGAGACACGGACCAGACUCCUACGGGAGGCAGCAGUGAGGAAUAUUGGUCAAUGGGCGAGAGCCUGAACCAGCCAAGUCGCGUGAAGGAUGACUGUCUUAUGGAUUGUAAACUUCUUUUAUACGGGAAUAACAAGAGUCACGUGUGACUCCCUGCAUGUACCGUAUGAAUAAGCAUCGGCUAACUCCGUG